UAUUUUAUCUCCUUUUGUUGGCUUAUUAGCUCUAAGUCUUUUUAAAGAAAAAUGUAUAUGGAGUGGUUACUUUAGGGUUUAUAAUAUACAUCUUUAACUUAUCACAGUCUACCUUCAAGAGAUAUAUUUUAUAAUAUUUUUGUAUAUUUCAUUUUGGAUAGUGUCUGUUGCUAUGUCUUCAGGUUCACCAAUCUUUUUUUCUGCAAUAUUUAAUCUGCUGUUAAUCCCACUCAGUACAUGUUUUAUCUCAAACCUAUUUUUCCAUUUCUAGAAGUUUGAUUUGUGUCUUUUAAAUAUCUUCCAUGUCUCUACAUAACUUUUUGAACAUGUGGUAUACAGCUAUAAUAGCUGUUUUAAUAUCCUUGUCUGUGAAUUCUAACAUCUGCCUCAAGUCUUGUUUGGUUUCAAUUGAUUGAUUGAUUUUUUUUUUCUCAUCAUGGUUAUGUUUUCUGCUUCUGGCCUUCCUGGUAAUUUUUUUAUCAUAUGCUAGACACUGGGUAUUUUCCCUGUUGAGUGCUGGGCCUUUUUAUUCCUAAAAAUAUUCUUGAACUUUGUUUCGGGACGCAGCUAAGUGGCUUGGAAACAGCUUGAUUCUGUCAGGUCGUACCUUUAAGAUUUGUUAGGUGGGACCAGAGCAGUAUUUAGUCUAGGGCUGAUUUGCUCCACUCCCCAGGCAAGACCCUUCUGAGCACUCUACUCAAGGGUCCAUGAGUAUGAGAGUUUCUGGUCUGGCACCAUGCCCAGCCAUAUGUGAGCGCUUGAUCCUGUUCCCUCUGACCCUUCAGGAUGGUUCUUUUCCUGGUCUUGGGUUGUUUCCUCAUGUGCAUGUGCUAAUCAGUAGUCUGAUAAACAUUUGAGGGGGCACCCUUUGCAGGUGUUGCCCCCAUGUCUUUGCAGGUAUUUGAAGGGAAUAUUUUAGAUUAACUGAUUAAAAGCUUUUCCCUUGAUUGGGACUUGGCAAUCCUGAUUACUACCUUUCCUGUGUAUGGAGCGUUUCUACCACCUUCCAGGAUGGGGUAGGGAUGGGUUGACAACUCUUGCAAAAACUUUGACUAGUUCAAAAAGUCAGUGGCCCUUUCUCCCUCGGAAUUAUCGCUAUUUAGGGUGGUAAGGUUUCUUUUCUCUUCUUUGUUUGGUUAUCUGUCUUUUCUAAUUUUUCUAGAAUGAAUACAUUUAACUUAUGUAUGCGAAAUAUUUUUUAAAUAACCAGAGCAAAAUUAUGCCCCACAAAAUCAUCACUUCCAUCACGUAUUCCAUUUUUCUGGCUGUCUGUCUACAGGUCUUUGUAAAGCAGGGCCAGAGGUGUCGUCAGCAGGCCUUCCGAAGGCUUGGACUCUGGGGGCAGUAAGGCGAAGGGCCCUGUCACCUCCUUCUCCUCGGUGUGAUCGGACGCCUCUCUUCCUGAGCUGUUGCUGUAGCGCGUGUCUCUCUUCCUCUGCAGAUCCAUCUGAAGAGCCCAAGCCCGUCCUUUGGAACAAAGCGUCUGGUGUUCAGACUUGUUUCUUGUCCCUCAACCCAUAUCCAGAUUGUCGUCUCAGAAUCCCACAGACUUCCCCCUUCAGGGUUGUUUUUUCUCUCUGUUAUGUGUACUGCCUGCUCCUUCUUGAUGCUGUGCUUUACCCGUAUUUGAGUCGUUUUCAUUAGCCCUUUACGACUUUGUCUGGAUACCCUGUCCCUCACUGAUGACCGUGCCGGCCUCUCCACUUGUCUCAGGCUCUACAGCCUCCCCUCCAGACUUUCUUGUUCUGUGUCUGGAGGCUGUCAUUACCGAACGUGUUAUCCUCCCUUUCUUUUCUUUUUCUUUUGUUUUUUCUUUUUCUUCUGUGGAUGUCUUCAAAUGGUCUACCUCAUUUUCCAAGCUUGCUGGUAUGAGGCAAAGCUAAGGAAUCUGAGACAAGACAACCUGGUCUGUCCUCUAACGAGACAGUCUUCUGCUGGCAUCUCUCCUUCAUUUCCAUUACUUUACUACUCCCUUUUUGUCUUUUCACAUCCAAGCUGUAAUCCAUAUUUUCCUUCCUUCAUCUAUAUCUUAGAAUGGCUAGAACAACCUGAUACAUAGUACAUACUCACUAAAUAUUUGUCAAAUAAGAGAAAGAAAGAAUGAAUGAAUGCAUCUUUGGUUGUUACCACCCCAGUUGUUGAUUCUUUGCUUUCGUCUUAGUUCCUGGUAGCUGGUCCAGUUGGCUCAUCAUUGUUUAUUAUGAAUAUUUUACAUAGUUGCCUUACUCAGGCCCUGGAUGGGGCACGCAUCUCUCACUCUCUGCAGGCAGCACUCUUGCCUCUGGGCUUUCGCGUCUGUAAUGGUCUUCCUUUCCACGUGUGUGGAUGUGUUUUCGUCAGUGUUUGGGGAGUGAUGGCUUUUGUGCACAGAAAGGAAAUAGAUAUUCAAAUAUUGAAUUAAUAUCUAACUUAAGCUGCAAAUUUGCAAGAAUAAUUUCUUAGGCCUUUAAGUUCACUUUGCAAUUCUGAUUUUACUUAUAAACCAAGUAAUUUUUAUAAAAUUUGAAAUCAGCCUUCCACUUAUUGGAUUGAUUCAAUCUUAGCAGAUUAAAGUCCUCUAUACAGUUAGUCAUAUUAAUAAGCUAUCAAUGAAAUUCCCCUGAACUUUAAAAAACAUUUACAAUUUAAUACAUCAAAUGACUCAGACGCCUGAGAAGGGUGACUUAAACCUCAGCAAAAUCAAAGUGCUUAUUCACCAGAUGCUCCAGCCUGGGACGUGGGUCACAGAGCUGCAAACGUCUGGGAUGAUUCUGCCCAACCACAGAUACACUGAGUUUUGUUCUGUCUGCCAUGUCCUUAGGGGAGGCAAGCUCCUGUCCUUUUGUUGGGAUUGACUUGGCAGACUGUGUCCCCUGGCCAUUUUAACCCUAAAUUACACCUUUACCCAAGUCUUUUGUAACAUCCUAAAACUUUUCUUAUCUUUUUGAGGUAUGAACCAUGUACUCCUGUUUAGAUUGCCGCAAAUUGCCUUUAUCACUUGGUUAAAUUCUUCAUUUCUUUCAAACAUUUCUCAAUUGACUCUUUUGGUUGUAAAUGGAAAAUAUUCCAGUUCAAACUGAAAGCAGCAAAAGUAACAAAAAAGUAGCCAGUUGGCUCACGUAACUGAAAAGUCUUACGAUGUGGCAAGUUUAGAUAUGGCUGAAUCCAGGGGUUCAAGCAAUCGAACAAUAUGAACAGGAAUACCUCUUGUCUGUCUGUCUCUGUCGCUCCCUCCUGUCCUCUUUUUUGAGUCUUCCUGUCUAGGUUUGGGAUUAAUCAUUAGUCUUGUCCUACGUGGCAGUUACAAAGCCCCAGGCAGCUCCAGGCAUUUGCGGUACUGGCAGCCAGCGGCCCAAAAGGAGAGACGAAAUUUUAGCAUCCAUAUCAACACCCUGGAAAGCCUGAUCGGCCAUGCAUGGGCCAUGUGUCUUCCUCUGGACUGAUCACUGUGGCCCAGAAAGUGGGGUAUUCUGAUGGCACACCCUGGGUCACAAGUCCACCAGGUGGGUCCUAGAGCUCCUUGAUUGAUGGGCUCAAGAUAGUCAUGAAAUCAGGGAAAGGCUGCUCUCUGCAGUGAGGAUGUCAGGCAGUAAGAAAGGGGCAGAUGCCCACUACAGUACAGCAUAUAUUCAGAUAAUUUUGUGAGAUGCAUGUAUUUCAAGUCUUUGGCUGUUCCUGCUGCCUGAUAUAAACCUUUUCUGUCCCAAAUGGAAAAGCACUUGGCAGCUGAUCCACGCAUCCCGUCUUCCUUGGCAGAGCACUGUUUCAUUUUUGCAUUGCUCAGUUACAAAUCUGUCUUCUGCUUUUCCUGGAAUUGCUAAUAUAUUACAGCCUUUAUCCAAGUCAUACAAGGUCUCCUAUAUUUGUUUUUAACGUAGAAUCAUCACCAAGUUUUUCCAGAUUCUACCUUCUUUCCUAUAGAUGUAUAUUCUCAAGGAUAAACCCUGUUUCACAGCAAAGCCAAAUUCCUAGGGAUUUGAAUUACUGACAAGAUGUCCCUUUAGGCUCAUCCCAAUUCAUGUAAUAAAUUGGAUCCUAGUGCAUAAUCACACCGUCAGCUGCUUUUCAAGUGAAUCCUUAUGACGAGUUUCCCUUGAGAAGUCUUUUCUGCUUUUAUCUUCCCCUGUCAGAAGAUGCAGUAAGGCUUCUGGUUUCCUGUCCUGCUGGAGUGAUGAUGAUGGUGAUGCUGAUGACAAUUACAACAGUAAAGUGAUGAAUCUUUAUGGAGUAAAUCAGUGUUUAUGCGUGACGUCUCCUCUGAUCCCAACAACAUGAUACGAGACAGACAUCAAAUCCCCAUUUUCCAUGAAGACAAACAAUCUCAAGGUGGUGACUUCAGGUCACACAGCCAGGCAAGAGUGGAGAAAAUGAAAUGAGCUGAAGAGUGCGUAUGAAAUUUAUUUUAUUCAAGUGAAGAUUUAUGCUGGCAGAUUUCAUUCCGGCUGACAUUGACCUUUUCGGACGAGAUGAGAGUUUCUGCAGGUCAGGACUCUGGGAGCAGCCUCACUAUGCUGUUCUGGCUCAGGAUCUCCAAUGAAGCUGUGGUCAAGAUGUCGGCUGGGCUUAGUCAUCUGAAGGCUCGACUGGGGUGGAGGGUCUGCUCCCAAGAUGGCACACUCCAUGCCUGUUAGCUGGAGGCCUCAUCUCCUCCCAGUGGAUGGAUCAGCUGAAACCUUCAAGAAACAGACAGCACCGGGACCGGAGUGGGAGGAGGGGGCAGCAGGCUGUGUAGCCGGCACGGAGCCAGUGGGUAAACUUCCUCCUUUCUGCCUCAAGCCUACAAGGCAGACUUUGACCCUUCUCGAGACUUCAUAAAGGAACAGCUGUCCACCAUUUCCGCCCUACCUCCUGUCAAGACACGCCCAGUGUGGACCAGGCCCCGCCGCCCCGCAGACGGAGAGGGGAGAGAGAUUCACUUCACGCCCAUUUCAAAGUGGACGCAUUCGCCUUAAACGACCUUAAGUUUAAAGGCAGUUUCUCACGUGGAACUGAGAGUGGCUGUUUAAAGAAGAGAUGGCAAUUAUGUUAUCAAAUUAUAGUGUGGAAAAUAAAACACAGGAAGCAUUUCGUGCUUAGACAGUGGAGUGUAGAAGAGUCAGGAGCCAGGUUCAAAUUCUGGCUCCACAUCCAAACAGAUCUGUGACUUAGAGCAAAGUACAUAAGCUCAAGGCCUCACCUGUGGAACAUGGAAGAUGAGGCCUACAUCGUUAGGAUAUUGUUUUCUGAGGAAGAUUGGCCCUGAGCUAACAUCUGUGCCAAUCUUCCUGACUUUUGUAUGUGGGUUGCCACAACAGCAUGGCUGAGGAGUGGUGUAGGUCCAUGCCCAGGAACCAAAGCCACGAACCCGGGCCACUGAAGCAGAAUGCGCUGAACUUAACCACUAUGCCACAGGGCUGGCCCUAAAGACGGUAACUUUUAAUACUACUGUGGGUAGCACAUAGGAGGUGCUGUAUAAACCAUAGUUACUUUUAUUAAAGUGAAUUGUUUUUUUCCAACAAAAGAUUUAUCAUUCCAGCUAUGGUCAGCCUUGGCUAGAAAUAUAACUUGUCUGCAUUUUUAGAUAGACACUUAUGAAUGGUGGGGUGUUUACCUAAGAGUACAGGCUGCAUUCGUAGUUACACUGUGCUUCCAUGGGGUGGGGGGAGCAGCUUCAGAGCUGGCGGGUGCCAUGAAUGUUCCCAAGUUGGAGAAACACACAGAAAGAACCAAGGGUGGUUAAAAAUACUAUAAUCUUCUCUUAGAGUGAUGGCAAGAUGGGGGAACAUGUGGAUAAGAAUGGUGUACGCGUUGGGGGGUGUGGACAUGGAGCAAACCAAAGUUCGAGUGGAGGAGUGAAUGGACCAAUGGAUUUGAAGGUACUUUGAAAAGUGUAUGUGCCAUGUGCAUUAUCGUCAGGGGCCCGCCGCCAGUUCUCAGCGUGUUAGUGGCAGAAGAAGGGAAAACGGAACACAGGGUUCCUAAAGCCCAGCCAGAUGCUGUCUCCCGCACCAUGCCGUCCUGGAACGUGGAUGCCACCCCUCUCUUCUGACAUUUCAUGGUUGUUUAGAGUUAGCUGUAGCGCAGCCCGCAUAUGUCUAGUGCCUGGUGGGAGAACGUGAAUUAAUUAAAGUCUCCUCAUGCUUUUAUUCACCAGCUUCUCUAGGAUUUUUGUUGUAAGGCCAAGUUAUCAGAGACACCACGGCUUUCCUCGGCGGCCCGCCAGCACGGGGGAAGGAAGACACUCAGCCCUUAGGAGAGAAGUUCAAGAGGUUAGAGCUUCUGGGGACAGGAACAGCCCAGCCUGAGAGCUUUGAGCACCUUUCCCCUGAAGAAGGACAGAGUGUGUGUGUGUGUGUGUGUGUGUGUGUGUGUGUGUGUCCGGGGUGUUCAGUCAACCAAAAGGAAUCCUGCAUAGCUUGACCUUUGCUGUAUAUGUGGAAUGGAGCAGCCUUUUUUUCCUUCUUUUUUUUAGAUAGAGUGACUGUAAAGAUGGUAAAGAAAAUUACAAGCUUCCUGAAAAAGAAGGAUUGGAAAUUAGUCUCGAAACUGCUUUGCAAUUAUGUCUGUAUAUUUUAGAUGUUUUGGCUUAAACUAAAGGUAGUAAAAAUAUA